GACGAACGCUGGCGGCGUGCCUAAUACAUGCAAGUUGAGCGAUGAAGAUUGGUGCUUGCACCAAUUUGCAGAGCAGCGAACGGGUGAGUAACGCGUGGGGAAUCUGCCUUUGAGCGGGGGACAACAUUUGGAAACGAAUGCUAAUACCGCAUAACAACUUUAAACAUAAGUUUUAAGUUUGAAAGAUGCAAUUGCAUCACUCAAAGAUGAUCCCGCGUUGUAUUAGCUAGUUGGUGAGGUAAAGGCUCACCAAGGCGAUGAUACAUAGCCGACCUGAGAGGGUGAUCGGCCACAUUGGGGCUGAGACACGGCCCAAACUCCUACGGGAGGCAGCAGUAGGGAAUCUUCGGCAAUGGACGAAAGUCUGACCGAGCAACGCCGCGUGAGGGAAGAAGGUUUUCGGAUCGUAAAACUCUGUUGGUAGAGAAGAACGUUGGUGAGAGUGGAAAGCUCAUCAAGUGACGGUAACUACCCAGAAAGGGACGGCUAACUACGUG
rnacentral:rRNA from 1 species